rnacentral:rRNA from 1 species
GACGAACGCUGGCGGCGUGCUUAACACAUGCAAGUCGAACGGAAAGGCCCUGCUUUUGUGGGGUGCUCGAGUGGCGAACGGGUGAGUAACACGUGAGUAACCUGCCCUUGACUUUGGGAUAACUUCAGGAAACUGGGGCUAAUACCGGAUAGGAGCUCCUGCUGCAUGGCGGGGGUUGGAAAGUUUCGGCGGUUGGGGAUGGACUCGCGGCUUAUCAGCUUGUUGGUGGGGUAGUGGCUUACCAAGGCUUUGACGGGUAGCCGGCCUGAGAGGGUGACCGGCCACAUUGGGACUGAGAUACGGCCCAGACUCCUACGGGAGGCAGCAGUGGGGAAUAUUGCACAAUGGGCGGAAGCCUGAUGCAGCAACGCCGCGUGCGGGAUGACGGCCUUCGGGUUGUAAACCGCUUUCGCCUGUGACGAAGCGUGAGUGACGGUAAUGGGUAAAGAAGCACCGGCUAACUACGUGCCAGCAGCCGCGGUGAUACGUAGGGUGCGAGCGUUGUCCGGAUUUAUUGGGCGUAAAGGGCUCGUAGGUGGUUGAUCGCGUCGGAAGUGUAAUCUUGGGGCUUAACCCUGAGCGUGCUUUCGAUACGGGUUGACUUGAGGAAGGUAGGGGAGAAUGGAAUUCCUGGUGGAGCGGUGGAAUGCGCAGAUAUCAGGAGGAACACCAGUGGCGAAGGCGGUUCUCUGGGCCUUUCCUGACGCUGAGGAGCGAAAGCGUGGGGAGCGAACAGGCUUAGAUACCCUGGUAGUCCACGCUGUAAACGGUGGGUACUAGGUGUGGGGUCCAUUCCACGGGUUCCGUGCCGUAGCUAACGCUUUAAGUACCCCGCCUGGGGAGUACGGCCGCAAGGCUAAAACUCAAAGGAAUUGACGGGGCCCCGCACAAGCGGCGGAGCAUGCGGAUUAAUUCGAUGCAACGCGUAGAACCUUACCUGGGUUUGACAUGGAUCGGGAGUGCUCAGAGAUGGGUGUGCCUCUUUUGGGGUCGGUUCACAGGUGGUGCAUGGCUGUCGUCAGCUCGUGUCGUGAGAUGUUGGGUUAAGUCCCGCAACGAGCGCAACCCUUGUUCACUGUUGCCAGCACGUUAUGGUGGGGACUCAGUGGAGACCGCCGGGGUCAACUCGGGGGAAGGUGGGGAUGACGUCAAGUCAUCAUGCCCCUUAUGUCCAGGGCUUCACGCAUGCUACAAUGGCUGGUACAGAGAGUGGCGAGCCUGUGAGGGUGAGCGAAUCUCGGAAAGCCGGUCUCAGUUCGGAUUGGGGUCUGCAACUCGACCUCAUGAAGUCGGAGUCGCUAGUAAUCGCAGAUCAGCAACGCUGCGGUGAAUACGUUCCCGGG